rnacentral:rRNA from 1 species
UUACGGGAAACCGGAGCUAAUACCGGAUAAUUAUUUUAACCGCAUGGUUCAAAAGUGAAAGACGGUCUUGCUGUCACUUAUAGAUGGAUCCGCGCUGCAUUAGCUAGUUGGUAAGGUAACGGCUUACCAAGGCAACGAUGCAUAGCCGACCUGAGAGGGUGAUCGGCCACACUGGAACUGAGACACGGUCCAGACUCCUACGGGAGGCAGCAGCC